rnacentral:rRNA from 1 species
UGGGGAAUUUGGACAAUGGGCGAAAGCCUGAUCCAGCAAUGCCGCGUGUGUGAAGAAGGCCUUCGGGUUGUAAAGCACUUUUGUCCGGAAAGAAAUCCUUGGCUCUAAUACAGUCGGGGGAUGACGGUACCGGAAGAAUAAGCACCGGCUAACUACGUGCCAGCAGCCGCGGUAAUACGUAGGGUGCAAGCGUUAAUCGGAAUUACUGGGCGUAAAGCGUGCGCAGGCGGUUUGCUAAGACCGAUGUGAAAUCCCCGGGCUCAACCUGGGAACUGCAUUGGUGACUGGCAGGCUAGAGUAUGGCAGAGGGGGGUAGAAUUCCACGUGUAGCAGUGAAAUGCGUAGAGAUGUGGAGGAAUACCGAUGGCGAAGGCAGCCCCCUGGGCAAUACUGACGCUCAUGCACGAAAGCGUGGGGAGCAAAACAGGAUUAGAUACCCUGGUAGUCCACGCCCUAAAACGAUGUCAACUAGUUGUUGGGGAUUCAUUUCCUUAGUAACGUAGCUAACGCGUGAAGUUGACCGCCUGGGGAGUACGGUCGCAAGAUU